CGCUAGGAGCACGGUGCUAGGAGCAGAGAAAGGGAAAGGAAGAAUGCAUGUUAAAGUAUUGUAUCAGGAGCUUGCUCUGCCACCCUGCCCUGACAGACAGACAGUGAAUUAGCCAUAGUGUUUGAACUUUGACCUCAGGCAGUAAAACUAUAAUAAACAGAUCCAUUUACAAUGACAUCAUAUUCCCUCGCCCCUGUAACGGGUAUAAUGAUGUCAUAUUCCCUCGCCCCUGUAACGGGUAUAAUGAUGUCAUAUUCCCUCGCCCCUGUAACGGGUAUAAUGAUGUCAUAUUCCCUCGCCCCUGUAACGGGUAUAAUGAUGUCAUAUUCCCUCGCCCCUGUAACGGUUAUAAUGAUGUCAUAUUCCCUCGCCUCUGUAACGGUUAUAAUGACAUCAUAUUCCCUCGCCCCUGUAACGGGUAUAAUGAUGUCAUAUUCCCUCGCCCCUGUAACGGUUAUAAUGACAUCAUAUUCCCUCGCCCCUGUAACGGUUAUAAUGACAUCAUAUUCCCUCGCCCCUGUAACGGUUAUAAUGACGUCAUAUUCCCUCGUCCCCUGUAAUGGGGGAUGGUGACAUCAUAUUCCCUCGUCCCCUGUAAUGGGGGAUGGUGACAUCAUAUUCCCUCGUCCCCUGUAAUGGGGGAUGGUGACAUCAUAUUCCCUCGUCCCUUUAACUGGUAUAGUGGUUUUAGCGCCAUUGUUGCAUCAAAGUCACAUUCCGAUCUCAAAACGACAUCCUCUAAUCCUGAAAUGUUGUAGCCUGGUCUCGUAUAUUUGUGUUCUUGUUCCGCUGCUGCCAAUGGCAACUCAGUGUUGUCAUGACAAUUAGUGACAAGGAGUUGGCAUGAUGGCACAAACAGACGGGCGCUCAUGCUAGCAACGUUGCUAUUUCUAACGAUGUUAAGCUAGACAUUACCAUGGACAACAAGCCAAAUAUCCCAUGCCUUGUAAAUUGGGUUAUGAAUUCUACCAGCCUUUCAUUACAAAAUGAAGGACAGAGGCGGACUUACUUAUGUUUCAUCAGUGAAACAGGCCCUCAAACUGUUAAAUCUGCUUCGGAUAAAGAGCCUAUUAGCAGCCCAGACAGUGUGAUAGUCCAUCACCCUCAGAGAAACAUGCAACGCCCUCUUCGCUGUGUGUGUGUGUGUGUGUGUGUGUGUGUGUGUGUGUGUCAUAAUACAUGUAUUUGAUGAGGGUCUGAGAUAAAUUGAAUGUAUUGUCAUGGCUGACCUCAGAUCAGAAGAGGCUGUAAAAGUGCUGGGCUGCACCUCAGCUGAUAUCCUAAUUCCUUAUAUAGAGCCCUAUGGGCCUUGGUCAAAAGUUGUCCUCUAUUUAUGUAAUGAAGCCCCUUUGGAAUGCAACCCACCACUUGGAGAAGCUGUAAAAGACUGUUCUCACUGGAUUGUUAGGUCUACAACUGCCCCAAACCUGAUGGAUUAAGUUACACAUAAGCCCAGGUCUGAGAACAGUUUUUAUGUGUACUUCCCUAAUGGUAACUGCUAGGAUUGGCAUGGAGAAAGCUGAUCAAAGGUCAGUUUCGUCUUUACAUUAUAAUGAAUGGACAAAGGACGGGGGGACCUGAUGAUAGAUCAGUAUUUCUACGCUGAAAACAUUUCGGGAAUACUGUACUUUGUCCUAGCAGUCCCUUUUUGGACACUGAGGUACAAUAAAUAGCACUUUGGAGCAUAGGGCUGCUAACGUUUAGUGAUUCCAUAUGUUAAUCUGUAAUUCUAUGGUAUGGGGCUCUGUCUCUCAGAGGAGGGUGCGCAUUCACAUUGUUUUGGUGUACGAUUUAUCACAAUUUAUCGAUCACACUUUUGAUGAAAGCUGGAUGUCAAAACAAAU
rnacentral:lncRNA from 1 species